rnacentral:rRNA from 1 species
AAUGAACGCUGGCGGCGUGCCUAAUACAUGCAAGUCGAGCGAAAGGACAAGAAGCUUGCUUCUCUGAGGUUAGCGGCGGACGGGCGAGUAACACGUGGAUAACCAACCUAUAAGACUGGGAUAAUUUCGGGAAACCGGAGCUACUACCGGAUAAUAUUUUGAACCGCAUGGAUCAAAAGUGAAAGACGGCCUUGCUGUCACUUAUAGAUGGAUCCGCGCUGCAUUAGCUAGUUGGUAAGGUAACGGCUUACCAAGGCAACGAUGCGUAGCCGACCUGAGAGGGUGAUCGGCCACACUGGAACUGAGACACGGUCCAGACUCCUACGGGAGGCAGCAGUAGGGAAUCUUCCGCAAUGGGCGAAAGCCUGACGGAGCAACGCCGCGUGAGUGAUGAAGGUCUUCGGAUCGUAAAACUCUGUUAUUAGGGAAGAACAGAUGUGUAAGUAUCUGUGCACAUCUUGACGGUACCUAAUCAGAAAGCCACGGCUAACUACGUG